UGUAUACUCAUUAUUCUUGUUGACAUAUUAUUUACGCAUUGACGCAGAACUUUUAGAUGGACGGAAUGAGUUAAACCCAUUCUCCCUCUGGGAAGAUCAGCCGAGGCUUACUUUCGAGAUGUGUAACGUGUUCACACAAAAAA